GAUAAAGGAUUUGCAGUCCCCUGCCUUACCGCUUGGCCAUGCCGCC
rnacentral:tRNA from 1 species